GACGAACGCUGGCGGCGCGCUUAACACAUGCAAGUCGAACGGAAAGGCCUGCUUUCCCUUGUGGAUUGCGGGUACUCGAGUGGCGAACGGGUGAGUAACACGUGAGUGAUCUGCCCCCAACUUGGGUAUAAGCCUGGGAAACUGGGUCUAAUUCCCGAUAGGACUGCAGGGUGGUGCCUGUUGUGGAAAACGAUUUUCUAGUGGUUGGGGAUGAGCUCGCGGCCUAUCAGCUUGUUGGUGGGGUAAUGGCCUACCAAGGCGGCGACGGGUAGCCGGCCUGAGAGGGUGGGCGGCCGCAUUGGGACUGAGAUACGGCCCAGACGCCUACGGGAGGCAGCAGUGGGGAAUAUUGCACAAGGGGCGGAAGCCUGAUGCAGCGACGCCGCGUGGGGGAUGACGGCCUUCGGGUUGUAAACUCCUUUCGACCGCGAGGAAGCCACCUGGUUGGAAGGGUGGUGACGGUAGUGGUAGAAGAAGCACCGGCUAACUACGUG
rnacentral:rRNA from 1 species